CCAUUGCAGUUUUUCUAAGAAUGCUUUACCUAAUGGCCUUUGCCAAAGAUAAUCUUGGUGGGAUUGACAAUCUGGUGAUUUGCUCAUGGGACCCAGCACUGUGGCUUGCUUGCUCCAUCCUAUUUAAUUCUAUGGUGAUGUCUAGAAAGCUUCAUCAACUCCUGCUGACUCAGUCACCUCUUCCAAAUUUUCGAGCUGAUGUCCAGAUGGCAGGAAAUCUCUCCCUCCUCAACUUCACAUCUGAGCUUCCCUAGCCUCCCUCUAGACUCAGCUCAAAUCCCAAACCAGAAGAGGCAAAGUCCUCCACGGGGAUUCUCAGGUGAUGCAUAAGCAAAGUGGCACUCUGUCUGCCAGUUUCCCCACGACCGAACUCUGGAUGCCUCUUGGGAGAUAUCAGUAGUUUCCCUUUGCAGAAGAGACUGACUCCUGUCUGCCAGAGCGAUUCAGUCACCUGCCACUCAUCCCUGCUGAAGGGACUCUUCCCCCACCAGCUCUGGGAACGGCAGACUUCUGUGCAGUGUGAGGGAGCGCCUAGCAAAAUGCCAUCUUUAGUUGGCUGGUUGGUUCUCUGCCCCACGUCAAUGGAGCAUGGUCCGGCUCGAGGUCCUGUGGCUCCCUGCUGGGGACUGUCCUUCAUGUUCAGAGAGCCUCUCCUGCCGGAGGAGGGGCCAGGGCUGCCUGCCAUAGUUUACUUCACCAUUGUCUCUCCUCUAAAUGAUGACAGAUGUGGCAGAGGAAGGAGUCACCCACCCGUUGAAGCUGGCUGCUCGUAAGAGUAAUGGGGGUGGAAGUGGAGGAGGGACAGAAUGCAGGGCAAGGCUAAGUCUUUCCUCCUUCACAGGAAUAGAAAUAACUCAACCAAGGCUGACGAACAGCUCUCUGGGUGUCUUCUAAAAAAUAAAAUAUACAAACCAGCAUUGAAAACA
rnacentral:lncRNA from 1 species